CCUACGGGUGGCUGCAGUGGGGAAUAUUGGGCAAUGGGCGCAAGCCUGACCCAGCAACGCCGCGUGAAGGAAGAAGGCUUUCUGGUUGUAAACUUCUUUUCUGAUGGACGAAGAAAGUGACGGUACCUCAGUAAUAAGCCACGGCUAACUACGUGCCAGCAGCCGCGGUAAUACGUAGGUGGCAAGCGUUAUCCGGAUUUAUUGGGUGUAAAGGGCGGGUAGGCGGGAAAGCAAGUCAGAUGUGAAAACUCAGGGCUCAACCCUGAGCCUGCAUUUGAAACUGUUUUUCUUGAGUGCUGGAGAGGUAAUCGGAAUUCGGGGUGUAGCGGUGAAAUGCGUAGAUAUACGGAGGAACACCAGUGGCGAAGGCGGAUUGCUGGACAGUAACUGACGCUGAGGCGCGAAAGCGUGGGGAGCAAACAGGAUUAGAUACCCUUGUAGUC
rnacentral:rRNA from 1 species